UACUCGAGUGGCGAACGGGUGAGUAACACGUGGGUGAUCUGCCCUGCACUUCGGGAUAAGCUUGGGAAACUGGGUCUAAUACCGGAUAGGAGCCAUCUUUAGUGUGGUGGCUGGAAAGUUUUUUCGGUGUAGGAUGAGCUCGCGGCCUAUCAGCUUGUUGGUGGGGUAAUGGCCUACCAAGGCGGCGACGGGUAGCCGGCCUGAGAGGGUGUACGGCCACAUUGGGACUGAGAUACGGCCCAG
rnacentral:rRNA from 1 species